AUAAAAAGAACUUAUUUGGAGGCCAAGUUUAUAUAGUUUUUGUGAGGAAGAGGAGGAAAUUAAGCAUGCCUAUCAACAAAGGCACAACAUGUGUUUUGUUAGUGAUGAUUUUCUUUGUGUUGUCCAUGAAUUCUUGGUGUGAAUAUGGUGAAGCGGCAAGAAUAUUCUUAGACUUCUCUACAAGUACUCAAGCGACACAAAGGAUGGACUACGUGGGCAGCAGCCACCGCCGGAGCACCAGGGCAUCGCCCAGUGGGGGCUAUCCUUCCCCGGCAGCAAAUGUGAAUGACCAUGUACAUCACUAGUGAUGAAUCUCUAUUUUGUUGUGGACUUAAUUCUCAUUUGAUUAUAUAAUGAGACUUUGUUUGAUUG